UCCUGAAUGAAAUUAAGUUCCAUGGGAAACAAAUGCGCGACCAGGAACGAAACACGACGUAAGAUCGCUGUCAUGUGAUAAAGAUUCCCAUUGAUCGACUGCUCCUGUCAUGUCCUACGUUUAUUAAACG